rnacentral:rRNA from 1 species
UACGUAGGGUGCAAGCGUUAAUCGGAAUUACUGGGCGUAAAGCGUGCGCAGGCGGUUGUGUAAGACAGAUGUGAAAUCCCCGGGCUCAACCUGGGAACUGCAUUUGUGACUGCAUCGCUGGAGUGCGGCAGAGGGGGAUGGGAAUUCCGCGUGUAGCAGUGAAAUGCGUAGAUAUGCGGAGGAACACCGAUGGCGAAGGCAAUCCCCUGGGCCUGCACUGAC